rnacentral:pre_miRNA from 1 species
CAAGUACUCCCUCCGUCCGAAAAUACUUGUCGGAGAAAUGGUUGUAUCUAGACAUAUUUUAGUUUAAGAUACAUUCAUUUUUAUCCAUUUCUUCAACAAGUAUUUCCGGACGGAGGUAGUACAAU